rnacentral:rRNA from 1 species
UACGUAGGCAGCAAGCGUUGUUCGGAGUUACUGGGCGUAAAGGGUGCGUAGGCGGUUCGUUAAGUCUGUCGUGAAAUCCCCGGGCUCAACCUGGGAAUGGCGAUGGAUACUGGCGAGCUAGAGUGUGUCAGAGGAUGGUGGAAUUCCCGGUGUAGCGGUGAAAUGCGUAGAGAUCGGGAGGAACAUCAGUGGCGAAGGCGGCCAUCUGGGACAACACUGACGCUGAAGCACGAAAGCGUGGGGAGCAAACAGG